AAAUUGAAGAGUUUGAUCAUGGCUCAGAUUGAACGCUGGCGGCAGGCCUAACACAUGCAAGUCGAACGGUAACAGGAAGCAGCUUGCUGCUUUGCUGACGAGUGGCGGACGGGUGAGUAAUGUCUGGGAAACUGCCUGAUGGAGGGGGAUAACUACUGGAAACGGUGGCUAAUACCGCAUAACGUCGCAAGACCAAAGAGGGGGACCUUCGGGCCUCUUGCCAUCAGAUGUGCCCA
rnacentral:rRNA from 8 species